CCGACCUUGUGUGGCGUCUUUCUGAACUCCCCCGACCGUCCGAGUUUUCGUAAUACCACCCGGACUUCUCUAAUAAUGAGCUCCUCCAUUCAUCUAUCGGACCGCUCCAAACGCUCUCUGAGCUUCACUAUCAGCAGAUUUUCUACAGUGAUCGACUAUUCUUCGAAUCUUUUCCAGACUUCUUCCAGCCACGAACGACUUUACUCCGAAUUUCUUCCGAACUUCAUCAAUGUCCGAGCUUCUCCAACAGCAAGACUUUUACAGUAACCAAACUCCAUCCAAGUUUCUACGG
rnacentral:lncRNA from 1 species